rnacentral:rRNA from 1 species
UGAGUAACACGUAUGCAAUCCACCUGUAACAGGGGGAUAACCCGGAGAAAUCCGGACUAAUACCCCAUAAUAUGGGCGCUCCGCAUGGAGAGUUCAUUAAAGAGAGCAAUUUUGGUUACAGACGAGCAUGCGCUCCAUUAGCCAGUUGGCGGGGUAACGGCCCACCAAGGCGACGAUGGAUAGGGGUUCUGAGAGGAAGGUCCCCCACAUUGGAACUGAGACACGGUCCAA